UGAAGCUCUGCUGAAGAACAGAAGAAAGUUCAUGGUGCUCUACAAAGCUAACAAAUUUGUAUCUGUGAAGAAUGUGUGUUAAAAUGUGAGCUUCUUAAAUGAACAGAAAACUUCUUUUUAUCUAAUGGACUAACGAGUCAUUAACAUACUGUAUGUGUUUAUGAAAUCAUUUCUAAAUAAGAAGUCUCUCUUGCGUUUUUUUGAUGAUGUCACCCAGUCCCUUUAGACUAUAUAUAUACACCUCCUACUAAAAAGACGCCCCCACCCUGGAGUGUGUGUGGUGCAUUUGUUGUAAUCAGGGUCAUGGAGAAUUCAGUGUGGGUGUGUGGCUUGAGCAACGCUAAAAGAGGAAGAAGUAACAUUUCUCAGAAAUCAAACUCUGCUGUAUCUCUGUGAGUGUGUUUUGAGUCUCACACUUCAAAAAGCUGUCUGUCUGUGUGUGUGUGUGUGUUUUUGUUGUGAAGUCUGUGCUGUUUCACCUGUAAGAAUGUUGUUGGGGUUUUAUCUUCUCCUCAUUGUGCUUCAUAUCAUUGAAGGCUGCAAUCUAGAAAACCAUAAAAAAACAGAGAAAAUUAAUGCACAAGUAGGAGAUGCUGUACUGCUGCCCUGCACUUGCUCAAACCUUCAGAACACACCUCGGAAUCUGACUUGGAAGAAAUACAACAAGAAUAAUGACUGGGAUUUUAUAGCAACAAACCAAAAGAGAUUUCAGCUCAGUAACGUACAGGAAAUCUCUCCAGGAAAUCUCUCACUACUCAUAUUAAAGCUGACUGUGGAGGAUGAAGGAUUGUACAGGUGUCAAAUUCGAGGUGAAGAAUACACAGACAUCAUCAUCACUGUUACAGUAAAGAAACGAGAGCAGACACCGAGCAAUACAGGACCAACAGAACAGAAGAGAGAGCAGGAAACACAGGAUGAUGUCAUCAUGUACACGACUGUGGUCCACACUAACACACCUCAAAGACCCAAAGCUCUCAGCACCAACGAAAGGACAGAAUAUGCCGUCAUCAAAUUACAUUAACAGUCAUUAGACUUCUUUAAAGUCUGCACAACAUGUGCACCAGCUCUUCUUCUUCUCAGCUUGUAUAGCAUGUGUACAUGUCUUUAUUAAUUCUACACACAUUGUACAUUAUAUAGUAAGUCGUUAAUGUGAAUUUUGGGGUGGUUUUAUUCUGUUGUAAAAUUGUUUCUCUUUAUGUAGUGGUAGUAUCAGAAAAAUGAAUAAAUAAUGAAUAAAAUAAUAAAAUAUAGAGGCAAAAUGUCUUCUGAGUGCCAAAUGUUAAAAAAAAAUUGAAUAUAAUGUGUAAAGAAACAGUAUGAACAUGAAUAAUAAUAAUAAUACAGCAGAACUGAGACAAUCAACAAAACUAGUUACACCAUAACUAGACUUACUCAAGCUAGCUAGAAUUGCAGAAUGGGGCAAUCUGUCAAUAUAUUCCACAGCAUUUCAUGGAGCCGUAUGACUUUCUGAUCCGUUCCAGCAUAUUUUUCUACUUUAUUUCUGAUAGAGUGAAAAAAAUGCAUCUUUAUAGACACCACUUUGAUAAUGGUAUUCAGUUUGCUCUCAUGAACAUGAACGUUGAAGAAUCCAUUCCUGUUCAGAGUCAUGAUUUAACCGGAAUCGGUGUAGCUGACACCAGCCUCAUGAAGUCAUAUGACUAAACCCCAGCCUCCAGAAAAAGAUCUAGGUGCUAUAUAAGAGAGGAAAGAGGAAAUUCCAGGGUGUAGUGUAUGUGUGGUUAAUCUGCACAGCUAGCUUUUAAAAUAAUGAAGAUGACAAAAAUAUUUGUAUUUGUGGACAUGUGUCUAUUUAUAUUUAGCAUUAAGGGAUAAAUUUAGGUUCUUCUUUAGCUCAGUGAAGUGGGCAGUGAAAGGGAGUGAGGUGCUUUCCAAUCCAUUGCAGAAAAAACUGCAUUUAACUUCUUUCACUAAACUCGUACAGGAGUGGAUCAUACAUGCUAAUGAUGAACGCUUCUUUUCUUCUUCUUCUUGUGUUUCAUCUUACUGCAGGUAAGUCUUAUUAACAUUGUUGUUCUAGGCUUCUUUACUGUAAUAACAGACUGAAAUGCAAAGGCAAAAGCUAAUUUGAACCCUCAAUACAAAUCAAUAUAAAGUUCUUCUGAAUGAUCAGAAACAUUUCCAUUAUAGUGGGUGUGGUCUUGUCCAGGAUGACCCAGCCCACUUUACUCAGGUAAUGAGAACUCAUUGAAAAGUCUGAUUAGGAUGAAAAUGAUAUCACAAUUAAUCAACUCUACCUGUGAACAUGUGGACAAAUCUGUUCUAUGGACAUUUAACAACUUUAAAUAGAACUAGAAAUGGUUAAAAAUGCGUAACUAUUUUUAAUAAUUGAAAUCUGCAGGAUGCAAAUUGCUGUGGUGGGGUUGCGCUAAUUUUCUUUCUACACUUUGAAUAGUUUUUUCCCCGUUUUUUAGUACAAAGCAGACAUGUUAAUAACUCAGUCACGUUUGCUGCCAACAGCUUUGCUCCAGCUUACGGUAAAUUACGUUACAUAAAUCUGAAAUACCGUAAAUCUGAUUUGAUCUGGAAAUGUGUUAAUGAAACUUUUCUUCAGGCUGCACUCUGAUAGAGAACAUGAAGACAGAUUUCAUCACUGCACAUGAAGGAAGCUCAGUGCUACUGUCUUGCUCCUGCACUGAAAUACACACCAAACCUGCAACAUUCACAUGGAGGACAAGAAAUCCAGGCAAAAUCACAUGGCACGUGAUAUCCAGUGAGAGUGAGAGGUACAGGACACGAAUUCAGCUGCUUAAUACUCACUCUCCAGGAAACCUCUCUCUACUCAUAUCCCACCUGACUGAAGAGGAUGAAGGAGUUAACAUCUGUUUCCUUGAGAGAAAUCAGUACAGAUACAUGCGGCUCACUGUUAAAGUGCAUGGAAAGAGCAUGCUGUACUUCCCCAUUGGAAUAUUUGCUGCAAUCAUUUUCCACGUCGUCAUCAUUGUCUGUGUCAUAAGGAAAGACCAAACCUCUGUUUCAGGUCCUACUAGAGCACACUAUAGCUGUACUGAUGAAACAGUGAGUCUUCAGUAAAGAAAAUCAACAAACAGAAGAACAGCAACUUAUAUAGAUUAAUAAUGAACAACCUACAAUACUGAGGAGAUCUCCAGCUACUGACCUACACACCUGAAUAACUCACUAGCUUCUGACCUGUACACCUGAAAUGACUUUCCAACCUACCAGAUAAUGGCAUAGAAAGCUGAUCAAACUGACCAGCUACUGACCAAUACCCUUGAAUAAUUGCUUGAACAACUCGCUAUCUUCUGACCUAAACAACUAAUUAUCAGGCCAGCUAGUUACAGGCACAUUUGAACACAAGAUUAACUACAGACCUGCACACCUGAUCAGCUCUCCAGCUACAGACUUACACACUAAAUAAGCAAGCGAUCUACUGAUUUAAAUAACUGAUUAACUAAUAAGCUACUGACAUACUCACCUAACCAACUCACCAGCUAUUGACCUACACACCUAAACAACUCACAAUCUACUGACCUACACACUUGAUCAGUAGAACAGCUACUAACCGACAGACAGCAAACUAGAUACCAACCUAUACAUCUGAUGUAAACCUACACACCAGUUCAACACAAACCUUUAUUACAUUAUCUGCCAGUAUUUUUGACCAACUAUUGACUGAAUGUCAGUAAUUCAGAAAUCACAUCCAACAUUCUACUGACUGAAUUUAUUACAUUUGUGACAGCAAGCAGAGAAAAAUGAACAAAUAAACCUUCCU